UACGUAGGAGGCAAGCGUUAUCCGGAUUCACUGGGCGUAAAGAGCGCGCGGGCGGCCUUUUAAGUUAGGUGUGAAAUCUCUCAGCUUAACUGAGAGAAGCCAUCUAAUACUGGGAGACUUGAGGGCAGCAGAGGAAGAUGGAAUUCCCGGUGUAGUGGUGAAAUGCGUAGAUAUCGGGAGGAACACCAGUGGCGAAGGCGGUCUUCUGGGCUGUACCUGACGCUGAGGCGCGAAAGCGUGGGGAG
rnacentral:rRNA from 1 species